UGUAACAUGACUUUAUAGGAAUAGGUCCAUUAGGUCCAUUUUAAAAAAAUCACACAUGAAUCAAGGUUGUGACUUCUGUUUUAAUAUAUAAGAUUCAAAGAUGUGAUUAGGGAGUGGGAAAUUGAUUUUUAAUAUUAAAAUUAAAAUAUUAAUAUUAUAAUACAAUUUGUGUUUUUUAAUUAAGUAAAAGAUUAAUAUUAAAAUAUAAAAUUGUGCUUUUUAAUUAAAAUUGAUUUUAAUCUUCCCUCACUUCUCAUAAGGAUUUAUAGAAAAUCAAUUUUAAUUAAAAAGCACAAAUUGUAUUAUAAUAUUAAUAUUUUAUCUGUUUAGAACUUAUUUUUUAGAAACAAUCCAAUAAGAGCUUGUUUAAUGGGGGGUUCUUAGGGUGAAGUUUUUAGCGGAAUAUAAGAACAUGUCUAUUAACUUUUAACUAAAAAAACUAAGAACCGGUUCUUAAAUACUCUAAGUUUAUAGACCCGACAAACUCGACAGCUGCUACUCUGUAGGGAUAUGUUUUUUACUUAUAGACCCGACAAACUCGACAGCUGCUACUCUGUAAGUCUGUAUCCAUUUCUAUUGUUUUUGGCGCUAGUUGCUUCUCCUUGGAGGCCUGGUCACGAUCAACGUGAAUCUCAAGUGUCAUUUGUCCCCGUAGAAAAAGAAUUAUACGUAAUUGCAUUGUAUUGGUCGAAACGUAAAGAUGUAUAUAGAGAAGAGAGCAUGUCCAUCGGGAGUCCUUAACAUAAGGUUCCUAACAAAAGUGAAAAAAAAAUUAAAUCGAAAAGCCCAAAUAAAUGAGGAACCGCUGCCUAAACUAGGCUUUUUAGAUUUGUUAAGAAGCCCUAUCGUGUCGCCUUCUCAUUGGACCGCCCAUCUAUUGCUCUCUCUCUCCUUCGUCGCGAGAAAUCAGAAGUUUUUCCUCUUCAUUCUCGACUUCUCCUUUUCUCGACAUCUCCGUCGUCGCUCUCGAAUUUCGUCAUCCCUGUCUUGAAUCUCGUUGUCUCUCUCUUGAAUCUCGUCGGCCCUCUCUCGAACCUGGUUGUCUCUCUCUCAAACCUCGUCAUCUCUCUCUCGAACCUCGUCGUCUCUCGCUCGAAUUACGUCGGCUCUCUCUCAAAUCUGGUCGCCUCUCUCUCGAACCUUCUCGUCUCUCUCUCGAACCUCGUCGUCUCUCUCUCUCGAAUCUCGUCUGGAAGAUCGUCUUGAUCUCUUUAUCAGUAAGAAAUCAUCCUUUUGAUUUGAUCUUUAUGUUACUGAUGUCUCGAUUUUGGUGUAUCUCCCAUUCCCUGUUCGUGAUCCUCUGUUUUGUCUUCUUCCUCCAGAGGUUAUGAUGAAGGUCAGAAGAUAGAAGCUUCAAAAGAAAGCAAGGAUGGAGGGAAGGACGAAACUCAUACUAGAUGGAAGAAGAAGAAGAAGAAGCAAGAUAAGUUCGAACAUCCUUUGUCUUUUCAAAAAUAACUUUUAAAUUAAAACUGAUGUCGAUGGUGAUUUUUUGAUAAUAUUGAGGAAGGUGAAAUCUGUUAGAUUACUAGUCUUUGUGGUGCUAUCUAGAUUGUGGUAGUCUCUGUUUUGUAUAAUGUUUGCGAUGGUGGAAUGAUUGUUUGUGGAAAUCGAUAUGCUUAAGUUCUUACUUAUUAGUCUUAAUAAAAUUGGUUAAGGCUCUGUGGUAGUAUCUGAAUUGUGCUUCACAUGAUCACUAGAAGUUGUUUUAGUUUUCUGUUUGAGUGUUUCGUUUAUCUCUUUACAUAGAACAAGCUUUUAAUUAUAUUUUGUUUGUUGGUUGUGUGAGGGUUGAGGAUGUGCGUGGAAGAAAGGCAACGGAAUUGUGCUCAACGUACAUGAUCACAUCAAAGCUUUUGUCUUUCAUUUCACAGUUGAGAAGAGAUGGAGCCAAGACGUAAACAACUUGUGACAGAAUAAAGCCAAUACGUAAACAACUUGUGACACAAUAAGCCAAGACAAGCACAACUUGUGACAGAAGGAGCCAAGACCGAAGACAUGUGACACAAUAAGCCAAGAUUUUGUUGUCUCAAUUUAAAAAAAAAAAAAUUCUCUCUUGAGCUAUGUUUUCUAUAAGUUGUGUGUCGUCCAACCCAUUUGUUUCACAGAAAACACAUUUGUUCAAACAUAUUGUAUUUCUCUUAUAAUCUCACCAAUCCGGUUUGGGUUUGUAA